rnacentral:lncRNA from 1 species
UUACAUGUUGCAUGUUAAGAGGGUCUGUCCACAACUUGUUUACCAGUUGCAGCCUCCUCUGUUUUCCUGCCGGUGGGAUAUCCCAUUUUAGGUAAAGCAUCUCUCUUUCUUCUGCACUUAGUCUCGAGCUCACCAUCUUUGCUAAAUAUUCUCUCUCCUGCUUAAGGGACUUAAUACUGUAUUCAAAACCAAAUCAUUAGAAAUCAUCAAAGCAUAUUUACCCUUUAAUUAGUUGCUCAGGGAUAUCAACAAAAGACACUUAAAAUACCUACCUUGAUGAAACAGAGCCUGCAGGUUCAUCACCCAAGAGUGCUGGGCUUGCAUUUCCAAGUUCCGCCAAGUGCUGCUCCAACCAUGUCAACCUUCUUAGCUCAACUUCUAUAUAGAUCUGAUCAGCGGGGUCUCCUCUGAAUAACAUGUAGAAUUGUGUACGAUGAACGAUUGACACAUGGCACAAAUGCCACAACAUGAUAAUUUGCUUUCUCUGUUCCUCAAACACCAAGUGCCAUGAAACAGGAGAUUGAUCAACAAUAUCAGUCUCAUCACUUGGACCCUCAUUUGCCUCAAGCUCCAAGACCUGGUACCGUUAAUUAAAUAUCAUAGAACAUAUUAACCGAAGUUUAGAACUCAUUUAGCAUUAUUAUAUCAAUGACAGAAAUAUCAAAUAGGUCCUACGCGAUCACAUGAAAAUGAUGUGGGCAUAAUUCAUGUCCAAGACAAAAACAAAAUAACUUUACUCUACACAUAUAUACUCAUAUCUUUAUUCAAGUAAGUGAUCCAAAACAAUUUAUCUAUUGAAGAAGGAAAGAGUCAAAAUUUUAUAAUAUAUGGGAUGGUCAAUUAUUUCAUGUAAAGCUAGAGAGAGAUUAUGACCAAUUCAAUUAUACUUGUAGCUGCUGAAACCAGGUGAGAACACAACUUAUGUUAUAACAACUAUGUCGAUGAUCCAAUCUGGUCUACAACCAAAUGGGGCCCUAAACAAGUGACAUGUAAAGUACUAUCCAAACCAACAAGUCAUGACAUAAGGAACCUGUUCAUACCAAACUGAAAUUGAUUUGUCAUACCUAAGGUACAGAUCUUAUCUUAAUCUUUACACGGAGACUUUAUUUAAAUUGUAACCCAUAUUCUGUUGAUCUAAUUCACUGAAAUAUAUGAAGGAAAAGGGAAAACUCACCUGGCAAACGAGAAGCUGCUUUUGAUAUUGGAGCUUUGCUACUCGUUCUUUCAGCUCAGUAACAUAAGCUUUGAUGCUCUGUAUAUUCUCCUCAGCCGCUGUCUUGAACAUCUUCUGCAUUUUCUUUACAUUUACUGAGUUUGGUUGACAUGAUGCAGGAGUACUCUCCCUCGACGAUAUACAAUUAGCAUCCAUGUGAUUCUUAAGAGGAGUAGCCUUGUGCCUGAGGAUUGCGUGACUACCAGAGAUGGAAUCUUUACUCUCUGGGGCCCUGUUCUCGAUAUCAUAUUCCAUUAUUUUGCAUGAAGACGACAUAGGUGAGCAUGGAGAUCGUAUUAUAUGUGGCAUACUAUUAGUAUUGCUCAAGGUAAAAGGAAGGAUCUUUUUCCUUUUCAAUUGAGUCUUGUGCUCGGGAGUCUCCUCACCAGUUGGAAAAUACAGGACCCUGUCUAUGGAUUUCUGAACAUUCUCAAGCUUCUCUUCCAGAGAUGAAAUAUUGCUUCCUUCAGAAUUUAACCGAGUAAUCUCUUCCUUCAGGCUAGCUUUAUCCCUGAUCUCGAUUUCUUCAGAAACAAAAGUUACUGCAUGCAUGUCCUUUAUUUCUGAUAGAAGCUUUGCUAUGGUUUCAGUAGCCUCUUGACUCCCCAGUCUGUGAGAUGCAACCUCCUUGUGAAGCAAUUCGAGUGCAUGGGUUGCUUCUUCACCAAGCUGCCUCUGCG